CAAUCCCCCGGCUGGGAGAGGGAGAUAGGGGAGGAUGUGAGCGCAGCUGGGGACUGUGCAGAGCAGAUUUGGGAGGAAGGCAGGAGACGGGAGCAGGGGCUGUGAUUCCAGCAAGGAGACAGGGAAGUGGCACAGGAGGGAAGCACCACGGUACUCUCUCCAUUUAGAUACGUCAGGGCGGCAGUUAGGAGAAGCUGCAUGUAUGGCUGGCACUGAGUCUGUAAGAGGCAGCUGAACUACUGUGUGCAAACAGGUCCAUCCGAGCUGUAUAUAUGAGUGCAGUGUAUUCGCACCCAUCUUUAUUCAGGGGACUGGGCUGCUGCUAGUAGGGAAGAUAUUAGGCACAGAGCUCCUUUCCCAGGCAAGUUGCAGGCAGGCACCUGUGUGUUCCAGACAGUCUGCCCCUAUGUCAGACUGAGCCACAGCUUGCAUCCGGCGAGUGUUCGGGAGAAGCCACACAUCUGAGCAGAUUAUUGUGUGGCCCUGUGGGCUCCUGCUUGGGAUCAGCAUGAAGGAUCGGACCAGGGAGCUACGUGCUGCAAAGGACAGCGAUGAGGAUGAUGAGGUUACUGUGAGCUUGGAUCGAGAUCGUUUCAUGGAUGAAUUUUUUGAACAGGUUGAAGAGAUCAGAGGGUUCAUUGACAAGAUUGCUGAAAAUGUGGAGGAAGUUAAAAGAAAACACAGCGCUAUCCUCGCUUCACCCAACCCUGAUGAGAAAACAAAGGCCGAGCUGGAAGAGCUGAUGUCGGACAUCAAAAAGACAGCCAACAAGGUCCGUUCCAAGCUGAAGGGUAUUGAGCAGAGCAUUGAACAGGAAGAAGCAAUGAACCGCUCCUCAGCUGACUUGCGUAUACGUAAGACACAGCAUUCAACACUGUCACGAAAAUUUGUUGAAGUGAUGUCCGAAUACAACGCCACACAAUCCGACUACCGUGAGCGAUGCAAAGGCCGCAUCCAGCGACAGCUGGAAAUCACUGGCAGGACCACAACCAGUGAAGAGCUGGAGGACAUGCUGGAGAGUGGAAAUCCAGCUAUUUUCUCCUCAGGGAUAAUUAUGGAUUCCAAUAUUACCAAGCAGGCUCUAAAUGAAAUCGAGACGCGGCACAGUGAAAUCAUCAAGCUAGAGAACAGCAUCCGCGAGCUGCAUGAUAUGUUCAUGGACAUGGCUAUGCUUGUAGAGAGUCAGAUUAAAGCUGACUGGAGCAGCAAGUGGGGUAAAAGUCACCUACAGAAGAACAGGUAACAAGCAAGGCAGGAAGGUUUAAUAACAAUUUAUUAAGAUUCUCUUUCUCUGGCCCUUCUCUCUUGUUCCUUUUUCACUAUCUUGUCUGCUACCUGUCAUCACUUUCACCUGCUCCUUCUAACUUCUCCUAUACACGUUACUCUCCCUUUCUCUUUUCUACUUCUUCUUCUAUUGCCGUGUACAUAUUUUGCCACUGUAUCUGUUAUACACCUCUCCUACUACUUUUUUACUUGUACAUCUUGUCCCUAUACCUUUCUUUUUCAAUGGCCACCUCUUCUUUACUACUAUUCUCUAUUCCCUCUACUCUUGCCAUAUGGCUGCUAAUUCACUUUACUUAAUUCUUCUUAAAUUGUAAUCUAAAUGCAUGUUAUAUCAUCCAUCUGCUUGUUCUGAAUUCUCACCGCCUGCAUGUUUCACUGCAUGUCCCCCUCUAACCCCUGUGUUACACUCUCUCUUUCAUGGUCUUUAUGUCUCCUCUUUCAAUGUUUCCCCAAACUCUCCUGUUCCUUCUUGUUGGUCUCUUCUUUGUUUUCCUUUUCCUUUCCUCCCUUUUUUCUGCACUUCAUCAGGGUGAAAUGAUCGACCGCAUAGAGUAUAAUGUGGAACACUCCGUGGAUUAUGUGGAAAGAGCAGUGUCCGACACCAAGAAGGCAGUCAAGUACCAGAGUAAAGCCAGAAGGAAGAAAAUCAUGAUCAUUAUCUGCUGUGUGGUGCUGGGUAUUGUCAUUGCUUCAACAUUUGGAGGGAUUUUUGGAUAAGGCAAGCGGAGCGGCACAGAAUGCAUGUUCUGGACAUUGGAAGACAUAUGCAGCACACAGUGUGUGCCCUGUACAACGAGGCACUGGCAGUGGAAAAACAAAAAAAAACAAAAAAACACUUCUUGAGUGGAGAGCCCCUCUGCAUGACAACCCUAUCGUUGUAACCCAGCACACGCACCCAGGAAGAGACUCGCUACACAGUAUGGGAUGGGACAGAACACGCUUAGCCCACUAACAAAGCUGUGUUUGACAUCACGACAUCCUCACGUUUGCAAAGACUUUCCCAGUUAUUGGACCCAUACAGUGUAUGAAGGAAGCGGCAGAGGGUUAUCAUUCCUCCAAAGCCUCUAUUUUCAGUUCCACUGCCCACCGGAUGCCUUUUGGGUUCAGAAAAGAAUCUGCCUCUUCCACAGCCAACUAGACCCUAACAUUGGGCUGAAGUGCCAAGCAGAGCCAAACCAUCAUCUUUUACUUCAUCCAUUGCACUCUUCAUGCUUUGAACUGGGACAGUGUGCUGGAGACCGUGAUUUCCCUUUUGCAUGACGGGGGCUCAGUGUUUGGUUUAACUUGUUAAAGGUUGGAAUCUGUUUUAUGUGAACCCUGCCCUCUUCCAGCAACUCUUCUGGAGAGGGACGGGUGCCAUUUUAAGUUCUUUUGUAUCCAGUGACUACAUUCCCUUUUGUAAUUCUGUGAGAACAAUGUCUACAUAUAUGUUUCUCUGUGAUCACAUAUGCAGAUAUGGUGUGUGUGCAAUUCACCUCAACCCAGGAUUGGCAUUGACAUUGCCUCUGGUUGCCAUGAAAUGUAUGUAUGUCCUGGGUUGCCGUGGAACCUACUGGUUGGGUGUUAAAAGCCUGUACUGGCUACCUCCACUGGUGCAUUCGCCAAGUACAUUGUGCACGUCUCUUGCACUUUAUGUGUUACAGACACUUUGCAGGUUUGGGAGUGGUGGCGGUGUCACAUUGAGGCGAUGCAGUACCAUCAGUCGAGUCAGUGAUGGCAAACUGAGUCCUGAUGUGCCUUACGGCUUGUACCAGUCAGUUGCUGACCCUUUCAGUGCUGCCAGUACUUACCAGCUCUGAAGGGGUUGCUCACCAGCAUGCUUCGUGAGGAGAGUUUUUAUAUUUGGUGUUACUUCUUUCUGGUGUGUAUUUUUGUCUGCACCCCUUGUGUGGCAUUUAAUAAAUGAUAUGAGUUUGAGGAGAUCCCAGCAAUGAGAA